UAACAAGGAUUCCCCCAGUAACGGCGAGUGAAGCGGGAACGGCUCAAAUUUGAAAUCUCCGUUGUUUCAACGGCGAAUUGUAGUUUCGAGAAGCACUUUCUAGGCGGAUCUUCGUCGUCUAAGUUGCUUGGAACAGCACGUCAUAGAGGGUGACAACCCCGUCUAGGACGAAGGAGGCCGCUGACGAUGUGUUUUCGAAGAGUCGGGUUGUUUGGGAAUGCAGCCCAAAAUGGGUGGUAAACUCCAUCUAAAGCUAAAUAUAGGCACGAGACCGAUAGCGAACAAGUACCGUGAGGGAAAGAUGAAAAGAACUUUGAAAAGAGAGUUAAAAAGUACGUGAAACCGUUAAAAGGGAAACGAAUGGAGUUAGCAAUGCACCCUGCAAGAUUCAGCCGGCAGGUGGUGCGGACGGGCGGUUGGCGGAUCUGCAUGGACCGCCGCCGUUCGGCUCGCGCUCCCCGCCGUCGCACUUCUUGCGAGUGCGCGUCAACGUCGGUUCGGCGCCGGUGUCAAAAGCUGGCGGGAAGGUAGGUCGUGGAUUUCGGUCCGUGACUGUUAUAGCCCGUCUUCUGAUGACCGGAGCCGGACCGAGGCGUCGCAGCGCAUGCCUCUUUUGGCUAGGGUCCUUCGCGGCCGGUCGGUUGUCGACUGUGGUGGACUGCUCGCAGUGCACCCGAACUGCUGCCGGUCGCUGGCGAGGUGACUUCGUACAAUGCGCUCAGGACGUUGGCGGUCAUAUGGCUUCAUCCGACCCGUCUUGAAACACGGACCAAGGAGUCUAGCCUGUGCGCGAGUCUUUGGGUGAAAGAAACCCCCGGGCGCAAUGAAAGUGAAAGCGGUUUCGGCCGCCGAGGUGAGAACCCUUCUCUCGUGGAGGGGCGCAUCAUUGACCGAUCUAUUCUACUCUUAGGAAGAUUUGAGUAAGAGCGUACACGCUGGGACCCGAAAGAUGGUGAACUAUGCCUGAAUAGGGUGAGGCCAGAGGAAACUCUGGUGGAGGCUCGUAGCGAUUCUGACGUGCAAAUCGAUCGUCAAAUUUGGGUAUAGGGGCGAAAGACUAAUCGAACUGUCUAGUAGCUGGUUCCCUCCGAAGUUUCCCUCAGGAUAGCUGGAGUUCUUUAGCAGUUUUAUCAGGUAAAGCGAAUGAUUAGAGGUCUUAGGGUUAAAACGACCUUAACCUAUUCUCAAACUUUAAAUUGGUAAGAAGUCCGACUUGCUUGAUUGAAGCCGGACAGUGAAUGCGAGCUCCUAGUGGGCCAUUUUUGGUAAGCAGAACUGGCGAUGCGGGAUGAACCGAACGCCGAGUUAAGGUGCCUAAGUCGACGCUCAUCAGACCCCACAAAAGGUGUUGGUUGCUACAGACAGCAGGACGGUGGCCAUGGAAGUCGGAAUCCGCUAAGGAGUGUGUAACAACUCACCUGCCGAAGCAACUAGCCCUGAAAAUGGAUGGCGCUCAAGCGUCGCACCUAUACUCGGCCGUCGGGGCGAGUGCUAGGUCCCGACGAGUAGGAGGGCGCGGUGGUCGUGACGCAGCCUCUGGCGCGAGCCUGGGUGAAACGGCCUCCGGUGCAGAUCUUGGUGGUAGUAGCAAAUAUUCAAAUGAGAGCUUU
rnacentral:rRNA from 1 species